UUGGGCUCCUGGAUUGCUGGAUCACCACACCCAGCCUCAUUUUUUAAAAUACGAUGUCUCCUGGCACACUUACAGCAAUGAUUGUUGAGGUACUGCUAAUUAUGCUGCAUGUUAUUGUAAUGUCUUUGGGAACACAAAGAGAUUUCUGUUUUUGUCUGUGAACUGGCCACAUUUCCCAUGUUACCAGCUAACGGGAAGGAAAUUUCAAUCAGGAGCCUGCAUUUUUCAGCAGCCCCACCUUCUCCACAAGUACACACAUCCUGAAACUGAGGAAAUAACGUGUCGCUUAGCUGGACUGAGGUCUCAUGACUGUCUCUCUGCUGCCUGCCUGAUCCUGCUGGGGAAACAUGCGCUGACUUUGGGAAGAAAACAUCAAAAGCAAGGAGGUGAGGACACAGAUGUCUGCCUUGAGGAGGAAGCCAGGCUAGCUGCUGGGUCAGGUGCCUGGCGCGGCCAUUCAGGGCUGAGAGCGGCCAAGAUCUGAGAGUCCACUAGGUGGCGCCCGUCCACACCGCUGGUCUUUAACACGUUACUUAUGUGUCAUUAGAACAAGGUUGCUGAUCAGGGCCACUGGGCUCAUGAGCCCGUCAAGCUACAUCACUGCCAAAGAAAGUAAAACCUUUUUGCCACAGAAAGGAAAUUUCACAGUUCACAGGGAGUAUUACCUGAUGUUGGACGCUGAGGCUUAUUCUGACACCCACAGUGGUACAGAAAUGUCAGUGUGUCCCAUCUUCACAUACAAAAGUUAAUGACAAAACUCUCCUUUUCAGGCCUGUGUAAUUGACCCCAGUAAAGUCUUGUCCCUUUAAUGAGAGCUCCUUGUGCUCCUCCAGCCCCCUGUGAGGCUCCCGCUGUCCCUCACCACCUCUGACAAUUGCCCCAUCAGCCGGCAGGGCCACCCACCCUGUCGGAAGGUGGUGACGGUGCAUUGAAAAUGGCCGGGGUUGCCGUGUCACAUGCUCAUUGGCCAGGAAUAGGGGUCGUCACUAGGAACCUCACAUCCUCCAUGGACAUGACCGUUUCCUCUUGGACUAACUUGAGUCACUCUCGCCCGGGACCUCGCGAAACAGAAAGACUCUCUAGGAAUAGAGUCCUAGCCUUGGACUGAAACCAACAGGACACUCAUCAUGUUUUCUAAGGAAUCGCUUAUUUCCUUUAUAACAACCGAGGUCAUGAACCUCGCCGUGUGUAUACUGGCUGACUAUAUCGUGUUGAAGAUGGAGGAAUUCCUACAUGAGCGAUUAACGGUGCCUGCAAUGGGACACGCAGUCGUCAUCUUAAAGAGGGUUGCAUCAUUAGUGAUCAAACGAAUGCUCAGGUAUCUACUGAAGGCCACAGUUUUGGUUCCAUACAAUAAGUUGGCUGUGCAAGGUUUCCGAAACAAGCUCACAUAUUUCUUCAACAAGAUGAAGCGUCUAAUCCCAGCACAAUUGAUUGUGCAAUCUACUUAUCCAUUUAGCAUGGUCUCAGAAGGAACAUGGAGAACAAGAAGAAGGUCCUCCUCUCGGGAAGAAAUUCUUGAGGGUCUGCACCCUCCGAUGUCGUCCACACGUGCAGACGUCUCUGUAAUUCUGGGAUCAAACACUCCCUAACUCUAGGAUCUGGAUUCACACACACACCAACGUGAAUCUUGACACUAAAAAAUAAAGUUAGAUUUAGCUGGACUGACGUCUCAUGCGUGUUUCUGUGCCCACCAUCUGCUCAUGCUGGGGUGAGUCUCUGGGCUGUAUUUGGGGAGGGGGUUGUCUGAAUGUGGUGACAGGCGUGAGAUGGGGGAGAAGAUCAAUACGGGUCUGGGGAGCUGAGGGCUGGGAGCCUGCUGGGUGUAGGGAAAGGGGAAGAUUCAGGAGUGAGAUUCCAUGGUCGAGUCCUGUGGGUGUUUGAGAACCUGCUGCUGAGAAAGGGAAGCUCCAGGGGGGAACAAGGGCAGACCUGGUGCCCUGGGGGCUCCUCCUAAGUGAGGGGAGGAACCAUAUAAAGAUCAGAGUGGAAAUGGCCUCAUGAAGACUCAGGUGUGACAAUAAAAAGGGCCCCAACAGUCUAUUUGGGGGUGAGAAGCUUUCAGGGGACAAAUAUUGCUGGUGACAGAGGAAAAGUGAGGCUCUGAAGCCACCAAGACAUCCCUGGCAGUGUAGAAGCCACCUUCAAGGACUCCUGGACACUCUGAGCCAUCUUGUGAGUCCUACAUCCCCCUGCCCUGUUCUCCGUGACAACAUCUGGGGCUCUGGACUCUCCAGGGACAUCCACGUGUCUCCACACAUCUGGGACCAUGCGCUCCCUGGAGCCCAGGGCCUGGGUUCCCACACACCCGUGCUGGCUGUGUCCCCACUUCCGGCCUGUGCACUUGCCAAGGUUGUCUGGGCCCUGGAGCUCCUCCUCCUCCCAUGCCCAGACUCCUAUUAGGCCUCUUCUGGGGUCUAAUUUUCAUUACCUGAUGCAUCUUGGAGUGCCCUACAGGACAGAGGUGGAGAUUGUGCUUUUCCACACUGUGCCCACCCAUACUUGCAAAGCUAUUACCCUAAGCCCUCUGUGAGAUCAUGCUGCCCAAACCUCUCCCUGGUCAGAGAAGGUUACUGGAAAACAUUGGCCCUACGUCUGGAAACCUCGAUCCCCUGUCUCCAUUCCUCACCCCAACCUGGCCCUUCAUUCUCCACUCUUCCCUGAGGCUGGGCGCCAGGCACCUUCUCUGCUCAGACCCCCUCCCUCUCAUGAGAAACUUGCAGCCUCAGCUCCACUUUCCCCCACCCUAUAGCUCACUUUUGUGUCCUUGUACUUGUCACUUCCUCCCUCAGUGGGAUUCUCCCCAUUUGCUCUCCAUUGUCCCGGUGUCAUGGCCCGUGUUGGCCCCUUUCCGGGGACCACUGCACUAACCCUUUAGGUCCUGAGGCCCAACAGCCUUCUGUCUAGACAUGUAUCUGUCUAACUCAAUAGCCAGACAGACACACACACACACUGUCACACAUGCAGGUGGCCCAGUGGCUGCCCCUACUCCAUGUCACCCUGCAAUAGCACUAACCCCACACCUUUGACUCCUGGCUCUGGGUCUGCCCACAGGGGCCUCCCUGAACCCACUUCCUUCUGAGGUGGGUCUGGGGCUUCUCCCUUGCCUUAAUGAACUCCUCUCACGCUGUCUGUGCUUUGCAGCCUACAACCUCCCAUCUCCCCUCUGCCCACGACUUCCCACCCCACCCCACCCCACCCCCACUCACUUUGCAUCUCUGAUGUCCUGCGUGCCACAGAUUCUCAUGUCUCCCUUCAGAAGUGUUUCCACACUGCGGCGUAAGGAUUUACACACUGUUGGUGCCUGCCCAGAUCCCCGUCCCCAAGCUGCUCCUUCCACCUCCGGGGUGCCCACAUCUGCAGAGACUUGCCCUCAGCUGCGUGCAGGCCACAUGGAAGGGUGACUGCCAUUCACCUUCCUUCUGAUAACAGCUGGCAGCCAGUGUCUCACUGUCACACUCAUCACUGGGUCUCCAUAGUGAUGUCACCUCUGUGCUGCAGUGUGUGCACCACAGCCUCCUGGGAUCAGGCUUAAGUCUCCCAUGGAACCAGGGUCUGCUUGGAUUCCCUGGAGCACUUCCUCAAUAAAUCCCUUAAAACAACAUCUCACAGUCUGCUUCUAGAAAAAGACACCCAACAGUAUUCCUAGGAAGCCAACCAUAAGAGUAGUGUUGAGGGUUGGAUGACUUCCCAGGAAAGCCAGUAGGCACCUCAUGACAGCUGCUAGGUGGAGGGAGGACAGUCACCAAGGCAUGUGUCCCCUGUGGGAUCGCUGGUACUUCAUUACAGGGGAUCUUGGAUGAACUACAAGGUAUGCACUGCUGGUACAUUGUCUCUGGGUUUGAUAACUCCAGGGGAGAUGGUAACAACAGGUGUGUGGGAUGGGAUGGCUGCUCACAAGUGGCACUGAGGUGCUGAGAGAAAAAAGGACAGACUCAGACCCAUCACUCAGUGGUUUAAAGUACAGUGUCAGCGGUGGAAGUGAUCCUCCCCUCCUGCAGCCUAAGAGCAGGUACACUUGAGGACCAGCCACAAGACUUGACUCCAAGGAGGAAAACAUCAGAGGACCGAGGAGAGGGGUGCGCCCUGCAGGGAGAUCAGCUACUUCUCCCUGUGAGAAAUCGGGUCCCUUAGGUAAAAGUCGUGACAGAGGAUAAGAAAUUAAUAGGAAAUAGAGAGAAUAAUGGAAAUGAAAGAAUACGCACAGGAAGGUAUAGUUUCAUAGAUUUAUAUAAAGAAAUUAGCAUAAAGCAAGGGUACUCAGGGAUCCCCACUACAUACCCAUUGGUAGUGAGGCAAUGAGGUUAGUUUCACAUAGGUUUUAUAAUCACAGAUAUCAGGUAUUGGUUGCCAGGAGUAACAGAUCUACAUAAUAUCAGGUAUUUCGGUUUGGAUUUAAAAAGUCUUUUCAAGAGACUUCUAAAAUGUCCUAAUCUAUUCUAUCCAUGUGAACAAACAUUUACAAAAUCUUUCAGGGACUAACUUCUAAGUUCUAAGAGACAGCUAUCAUUUAACAGAGGGGUAACACAGAGAUACCGUGGCUCCAUAUUUCUUUUAUCUAAUUGUUGUGAAUUGAGACAGAGAAUCAGAAGGAAGCAGGAACUUGGCUGUUUGUUAAUUGCUCUUAGCCAUAAAUGUCCAUCUCCUCUCUCGGGCUGGGCACUCAUUAUUCUGGCUCCCAUUCUGUGGUGCCAUGUAUAGCUGCCUUGUCUUUCAAGAAUGGGGCGCCACAGGUUUGAGAUAACAGGAGCCAUCUUGGAAUGCAUCUGACUGGAGCUUUGAGCCCUCCCGAGGCAACACAUCCUUUGAUAUGCAAACAAAUGAGUUCACAUGUUCCUUCAGGACAAAGACCUGCAAAACUCCUGAAAUCAUUUCUGUCUUUAAUGUAGCAAUAUUGGGUGAUAAAAUAAUAAUCUUAUCAGCCACAUCUCAUUAAGUCCUCAAUUGUCUUUCCUCAACACACCCUCACCCCAACCUGAGCAGGCAAUGAAGCUUCGCAUUUCAGACAAUCUCUCGCCUGGCCCUAUGUGUGUCUCUCUCUUCCCCUGGCCCACACUGUUCUCCUUUUGCUAUAUUAACUCUGUUGUUACACGGCUUUCUUGAGUUCAGGGAGAAAUGCUACCAGAAUAUCAACCCUGAGAUGUUUAGUAACCCCUGAGUCUGUAACAAGUUGAACAGCCCUAAAUUUGGGCUGGUAUUUGAUGUGAGGUUGCUCAUGACCGGUGGCUUCUGGGCUGACCCUGACUGGUUAGUACCAGAACUGAAUUGCACUGCAGUAUAGCAGUAGGAUCAACAAUCAAAAGGUUAAGAUGUGGGUUAAGGGAGUCCCUGAGAGGAGACUCCAGGUCAAAAACAAGAAAACAAAUACACAAUGCAUGAGCCCCCUGGGGUCCUCAGGAGGGCCAGUUAGCAGUGCACUGGUGAAGAGAUGCCAGCGUCACUGAGAUUUGAAUCACGGUCAUUUCUCUGAGAUCAGAUGUGAAUGUAGGAAAACUGUUGCAGAGCUGUGCUCGAUAGUGCCAGUGGGAUGAUGGGGUCUGGCAAUGACAGAAACCAGCACUAUGCCGUCAAAACCAGGGCGGACAUCAAAUGUGUGUGUCACUUACUGGGCAAUCCAUAGGCAUAAUCAAGAGCGAAAGGCUGAUGUCAGCUGCCCCACAUAACAUCAUUAUCAUUACUAUGUAAAGAUCAGAGACAGAUUUAGAUUCAGAAAUUUUGGAUUCAUAAAAAGGCAGAGUUUCCUUCAAAACCAAGGCAAGUGUACACUAUUGUGAUGCACCAGUUCAUCCUGGACAGAACCCACAGCCAUUAGCAGGUGACAAGGGACUACUGUAAAUGUUCUCGACUGUAGCCCCACCGUAGCUGCUGUGAGGGAUGGUUUACCUUCACUAGAGCAGCACAUGACUCACCUUCAGACAUGUGCUAUGCACAGAAGAGCUGGGAAAUAUAUAUAUUCCAAACACACAGGAGGAUGGAUCAUAAUUAUUCCCACUUACAUGGAAGCAACAGCAGUAUACUUCGUGAUCUCUCCUCCCACCUCUCGCUUUCUCUCUCAUUAUGGUUCUGUAGAGUCCUAAGGGACCUGCCCAUCUCG